rnacentral:lncRNA from 1 species
UUCUUUUAUAUACAAAUAUACUUCUUUUGAUUAGAAAUUGACAAGCAUGUGCAUCAUCAGUUACGGAUAGUCUGGUGUACUUAAACUUAGGAUAAAUGAGAAUAUUACCAGAUAGAGUUAUCAGAGCAGAGGCGGUAAAAGCUAUCGAGAGAAAAGAAAACUAGGGUUUGGUAUUUGGGGCAAAUCAAUCGAGUGUUUCAGGUGAGGAUCAGUUGAUUACAUAGCUUUGUAUACCUGUCAUGUGAUUUCACUGCUAGAUAUAAUUAUAAUUGUUGUUGUGUUGAUUGGUUUAAUCAGAGUUUGGGGGUGGCGAUUGGGUGGAGUAUGGAGGCUGGGUCGCUGGUAAUGGAGAGAAGCGGAGGUGGUGGUACAGCGGCGUAGAAGGGAGAGGCCGGUUGGGUGAUUGCAGCCGAUCGCCGGAGUGGCGCGAAGGUUGCAGGCGGCUCUGCCGCGGCUGUGCACCGCAGUGGCGAGACGCGCCGUUCACAGGGUAGAGAGAGAGAGAGGGGGGGCUGAAUGGAGGUGCUGGGCAUUGGCUAUGGCCGGAAUCCGGCGAGGCCUGGCGGCAGUCCCGAGGAGGCUGCCACGCGAGUUUUCCGGGAGAAAAACAAAAACAAAUAUUAAUUUUGUUUUUAUUAUUUUUAUUAUUGUUAUUUUUAAUAAAUGAUAACAAUAAUAUUAAUAAUAUUAAUAAAAUUAAUAUAUACUUUUGAUUGUUAUAUUUCUUUGCAAGGUGUAUUAUUAUUAUACUCUAUGACGUGAUUAUUAGUCAUAAAUUGUUUUUCUCGAUUCUUGUAUCAAUUUAUUAUGUUGAUAACAUGUGUAGUUAUGCAACUUAGCGGAUUAGAUACAAGAAUUUGAUUAUUGUGGACAAAUAUUGGGUUGAUUGUGGAUGGUUGGGAUUGCUCUAAAAUUAUAGAGAUGAUGUCCGGAUUUUUAAUUUUAUUAAGAUUUGGAUUUAAUUUGAGAAUCGAAUUAAGAUUAUAAUUCGGAUUCUGAUUAAGAUUUGGACUGAGAUUCUUGGAUUAUCAGUUAUAAUUAUUUAUAAAUAAUAAAGCAUGUCAAUCUCGUGAUACGUGACAAUGUGAUUACGUGUUUAAAUUAUAAAUAUUAUGUGUACAUAAUAAUUGAAAUAUUUAUAUAUCACGAAGGGUAGAAUCCGAAUUCGAUUUCUCGAUUUAGACGACAAUCUGAUUUGUUCGCCAACUAAAUUAUUAUAUUGUUGUUAUAUAUAGUCGACCAAGAUGUAUUAUCAAGGACGUUCAGAAUAGUUGAUUUGUAUUGUCGGAUUGUGUUGAG